rnacentral:rRNA from 1 species
AUUGAACGCUGGCGGCAUGCUUUACACAUGCAAGUCGAACGGUAACAGGCCGCAAGGUGCUGACGAGUGGCGAACGGGUGAGUAAUGCAUCGGAACGUGCCCAGUCGUGGGGGAUAACGCAGCGAAAGCUGCGCUAAUACCGCAUACGAUCUAUGGAUGAAAGCGGGGGACCGUAAGGCCUCGCGCGAUUGGAGCGGCCGAUGUCAGAUUAGGUAGUUGGUGAGGUAAAGGCUCACCAAGCCAACGAUCUGUAGCUGGUCUGAGAGGACGACCAGCCACACUGGGACUGAGACACGGACCAGACUCCUACGGGAGGCAGCAGUGGGGAAUUCUGGACAAUGGGCGCAAGCCUGAUCCAGCAAUGCCGCGUGCAGGAAGAAGGCCUUCGGGUUGUAAACUGCUUUUGUACGGAACGAAACGGCUCUCACUAAUACUGGGGGCUAAUGACGGUACCGUAAGAAUAAGCACCGGCUAACUACGUGCCAGCCGCCGCCGUAACAC